rnacentral:lncRNA from 1 species
GCUAGAAGCUCUAGCCAGAUCAACUCGACAGGCUCCUGGGUCAGCGCACCCAUUCAACUGCAGUUUGAAACAAGAUGGGUGACAUUUUCUCAUCUCAGGUGGAGCUGAAAAAGCUGGAGAACGAGGAGGCAGAAAGGAAGCGACAGCACGAGAAGGAAGAGAAACAAAGACAGCGCGAGGAGGAAGAGAAGAAGAGACAGCAUGAGGACCGGGAAAGAGAACGACAGCACAAAGAACGCAUGCACCAGAGAGAGCUUGAAGACAAGGCCAAAGAAAGAGAGGCCCAGCGCCAGAUGCAUGAGAGAGAGUAUGAGGAGCAAGAGAAGAAGAGGAAGCAUGAGGAGAUCAUCAUACAGCUGCAGAACAGAAACCUGGAAUUGCGCAUUCUCCGCCGAACUGGUCUCUCAGCCAGUAAGAAUUCCCCACCGUACUGUCUUAUCCAAGAUGCUCUGUCAUCCAUCACACACCCCACUAUGCCUGAUGCUGAUGAGAAUGGUGAUGACAGCGGUGACGAUGAUGAUAUUUACAACUACGGUUCUCCACACUGAAUUAUACACUGUUCUUAACCUUACCAGUGGAGGGAUUCCCAGCCAUGAUGCCCAGUGUAUUGUCACCUAACUGGCCCAGCACCAAGGACGUAGUCCAUUUCUCCUCUCACCUUCCCUUCCCUUUUGCACUAAUGGAAUGCUUUUCCCACCCCGGGGUU